GAUGAACGCUGGCGGCGUGCCUAAUACAUGCAAGUCGAGCGGUAACACUUCGGGUGACGAGCGGCGGACGGCUGAGUAACACGUAGGAACGUACCCCAAACUGAGGGAUAAGCACCGGAAACGGUGUCUAAUACCGCAUGUGGUCUUCGGAUUAAAGCUUCGGCGGUUUGGGAACGGCCUGCGCAUGAUUAGCUUGUUGGUGAGGUAAAAGCUCACCAAGGCGACGAUCAUUAGCUGGUCUGAGAGGAUGAUCAGCCAGACUGGGACUGAGACACGGCCCAGACUCCUACGGGAGGCAGCAGUAGGGAAUUUUCCACAAUGGGCGAAAGCCUGAUGGAGCAACGCCGCGUGCAGGAUGAAUGCCUUCGGGUUGUAAACUGCUUUUAUUGGUGACGAUUAUGACGGUAGCCAAUGAAUAAGGAUCGGCUAGCUCCGUGCCAGCCGCCGCAGUAA
rnacentral:rRNA from 1 species